rnacentral:rRNA from 1 species
CCUAUUCGGAUUGCAGGCUGAAACUCGCCUGCAUGAAGCUGGAAUUGCUAGUAAUCAUAGGUCAGCAUACUAUGGUGAAUACGUUCCCGGGCCUUGUACACACCGCCCGUCACACCAUGAGAGUUGAGAAUACCCGAAGUCCAUGUCAAAGUGGCCGAAGGUAGGCUUGAUGAUUGGGGUGAAGUCGUAACAAGGUACC